rnacentral:lncRNA from 1 species
AAAGUUUUUCACCAAAGUAACCAAAGUAAUGAAACAAGAGAAUGAAACAAGGAUUAACCAAAGACACUCAAAUGGUUCAAAAGUGUACGGCCCUUUCACAAUCCACUUACCUCAAUGCUAGACAAAACAUGAACAAGAACAAUGGUUGGGUGCAAAUGACAUACCAAGAAAUUCAAAGCAAUACAUGUCAAAAUUGAAUCAAAC